rnacentral:rRNA from 1 species
UACGGGGGGGGGCAAGCGUUGUUCGGAAUUACUGGGCGUAAAGGGUUCGUAGGUGGCCCGCUAAGUCAGACGUGAAAUCCCUCAGCUUAACUGGGGAACUGCGUCUGAUACUGGAUGGCUUGGAUCCGGGAGAGGGAUGCGGAAUUCCAGGUGUAGCGGUGAAAUGCGUAGAUAUCUGGAGGAACACCGGUGGCGAAGGCGGCAUCCUGGACCGGUAUUGACGCUGAGGAGCGAAAGCCAGGGGAGCAAACGGG